GGGCCCGCACAAGCGGUGGAGUAUGUGGUUUAAUUCGAUGAUACGCGAGGAACCUUACCAGGACUUAAAUGUAAGUUGCAUGAUUCAGAAAUGAAUCUUUCUUCGGACUACUUACAAGGUGCUGCAUGGUUGUCGUCAGCUCGUGCCGUGAGGUGUCAGGUUAAGUCCUAUAACGAGCGCAACCCCUAUCGUUAGUUGCCAUCAAGUAAAGUUGGGAACUCUAGCGAAACUGCCGGUGUAAACCGAGAGGAAGGUGGGGAUGACGUCAAAUCAUCACGGCCCUUACGUUCUGGGCUACACACGUGCUACAAUGGCCGGUACAGAAAGCAGCCACUAUGCGAAUAGGAGCUAAUCUUUAAAACCGGUCUCAGUUCGGAUCGCAGUCUGCAACUCGACUGCGUGAAGCUGGAAUCGCUAGUAAUCGG
rnacentral:rRNA from 1 species